CCUACGGGUGGCAGCAGUGGGGAAUAUUGGACAAUGGGCGAAAGCCUGAUCCAGCCAUGCCGCGUGUGUGAAGAAGGCCUUCGGGUUGUAAAGCACUUUCAGUGGGGAAGAAAGCCUUGGGGCUAAUACCCUCGAGGAAGGACAUCACCAACAGAAGAAGCACCGGCUAACUCCGUGCCAGCAGCCGCGGUAAUACGGAGGGUGCGAGCGUUAAUCGGAAUUACUGGGCGUAAAGCGCGCGUAGGCGGUCUGAUAAGCCGGUUGUGAAAGCCCCGGGCUCAACCUGGGAACGGCAUCCGGAACUGUCAGGCUAGAGUGCUGGAGAGGUAGGUAGAAUUCCCGGUGUAGCGGUGAAAUGCGUAGAGAUCGGGAGGAAUACCAGUGGCGAAGGCGGCCUUCUGGACUGACACUGACGCUGAGGUGCGAAAGCGUGGGUAGCAAACAGGAUUAGAUACCCCAGUAGUC
rnacentral:rRNA from 1 species